GAACGCACAUUGCGCCCUUUGGUAUUCCAAAGGGCAUGCCUGUUCGAGCGUCAUUUGAACCCUCAAGCUUUGCUUGGUGUUGGGUGUUUGUCUUUCCCCGGGAGACUCGCCUUAAAACAAUUGGCAGCCGGCAUACUGGUAUUGAAGCGCAGCACAAUUCGCGCUCCUGUCCAUGAGUGCCCGCGUCCAUGAAGCACACAUUUUCACUUUUGACCUCGGAUCAGGUAGGGAUACCCGCUGAACUUAA
rnacentral:misc_RNA from 1 species